rnacentral:rRNA from 1 species
AUUGAACGCUGGCGGCAUGCCUUACACAUGCAAGUCGAACGGUAACAGGUCUUCGGAUGCUGACGAGUGGCGAACGGGUGAGUAAUACAUCGGAACGUGCCCGAUCGUGGGGGGUAACGGAGCGAAAGCUUUGCUAAUACCGCAUACGAUCUACGGAUGAAAGCAGCGGACCGCAAGGCCUUGCGCGGACGGUGCGGCCGAUGGCAGAUUAGGUAGUUGGUGGGAUAAAAGCUUACCAAGCCGACGAUCUGUAGCUGGUCUGAGAGGACGACCAGCCACACUGGGACUGAGACACGGCCCAGACUCCUACGGGAGGCAGCAGUGGGGAAUUUUGGACAAUGGGCGAAAGCCUGAUCCAGCCAUGCCGCGUGCAGGAUGAAGGCCUUCGGGUUGUAAACUGCUUUUGUACGGAACGAAAAGACUCUUUCUAAUAAAGAGGGUCCAUGACGGUACCGUAAGAAUAAGCACCGGCUAACUACGUG